UACGGGGGGGGUAAGCGUUGUUCGGAAUUACUGGGCGUAAAGCGUGCGCAGGCGGUCAUGCAAGACAGAUGUGAAAUCCCCGGGCUCAACCUGGGAACUGCAUUUGUGACUGCAUGGCUGGAGUGCGGCAGAGGGGGAUGGAAUUCCGCGUGUAGCAGUGAAAUGCGUAGAUAUGCGGAGGAACACCGAUGGCGAAGGCAAUCCCCUGGGCCUGCACUGACGCUCAUGCACGAAAGCGUGGGGAGCAAACAGG
rnacentral:rRNA from 1 species